rnacentral:rRNA from 1 species
UCGGACCUACGGGAGGCAGCAGUGAGGAAUAUUGGUCAAUGGCCGAAGGGCUGAACCAGCCAAGCCGCGUGAAGGAAUAAGGCCCUACGGGUCGUAAACUUCUUUAGUCAGGGAACAAAGGGAGCCACGCGUGGCGCUGUGAGUGUACCUGAAGAAUAAGCAUCGGCUAACUCCGUGCCAGCAGCCGCGGUAAUACGUAGGGGGCGAGCGUUAUCCGGAUUCAUUGGGCGUAAAGCGCGCGUAGGCGGCCUGUUAGGUCGGGGGUCAAAUACCGGGGCUCAACCCCGGUCCGCCCCCGAUACCGG